NNNUCGUUAGCUCAGUUGGUAGAGCAGUUGACUUUUAAUCAAUUGGUCGCAGGUUCGAAUCCUGCACGACCCACCA
rnacentral:tRNA from 2 species